UACGUAGGGUGCGAGCGUUAAUCGGAAUUACUGGGCGUAAAGCGUGCGCAGGCGGUCUGUUAAGACCGAUGUGAAAUCCCCGGGCUUAACCUGGGAACUGCAUUGGUGACUGGCAGGCUUUGAGUGUGGCAGAGGGAGGUAGAAUUCCACGUGUAGCAGUGAAAUGCGUAGAGAUGUGGAGGAAUACCGAUGGCGAAGGCAGCCUCCUGGGCCAACACUGACGCUCAUGCACGAAGGCGUGGGGAGCAAACGGG
rnacentral:rRNA from 1 species